rnacentral:rRNA from 1 species
GAUGAACGCUGGCGGCGUGCUUAACACAUGCAAGUCGAACGAGAAAUGUAGACGGAAACCUUCGGGCGGAAGCCUUCAUUUCGAGUGGCGGACGGGUGAGUAACGCGUGGGUAACCUGCUUCAUACAGGGGGCUAACGGUUGGAAACGAUUGUUAAUCCCGCUUAAGACCACAGCAUCGCAUGUUUCGGGGGUAAAAACUCCGGUGGUAUGAGAUGGACCCGCGUUCGAUUAGCCAGUUGGCGGGGUAAGGGCCAACCAAAGCGACGAUCGAUAGCCGAUCUGAGAGGAUGACCGGCCACAUUGGGACUGAGACACGGCCCAAACUCCUACGGGAGGCAGCAGUGGGGAAUAUUGCACAAUGGGGGAAACCCUGAUGCAGCGACGCCGCGUGAGUGAAGAAGUACUUCGGUAUGUAAAGCUCUAUCAGCAGGGAAGAAAAUGACGGUACCUGAGUAAGAAGCCCCGGCUAACUACGUG